GAUGAACGCUGGCGGCGUGCCUAAUACAUGCAAGUCGAGCGAACAGACGAGGAGCUUGCUCCUCUGACGUUAGCGGCGGACGGGUGAGUAACACGUGGAUAACCUACCUAUAAGACUGGGAUAACUUCGGGAAACCGGAACUAAUACCGGAUAAUAUAUUGAACCGCAUGGUUCAAUAGUGAAAGACGGUUUUGCUGUCACUUAUAGAUGGAUCCGCGCCGCAUUAGCUAGUUGGUAAGGUAACGGCUUACCAAGGCAACGAUGCGUAGCCGACCUGAGAGGGUGAUCGGCCACACUGGAACUGAGACACGGUCCAGACUCCUACGGGAGGCAGCAGUAGGGAAUCUUCCGCAAUGGGCGAAAGCCUGACGGAGCAACGCCGCGUGAGAGAUGAAGGUCUUCGGAUCGUAAAACUCUGUUAUUAGGGAAGAACAAAUGUGUAAGUAACUAUGCACGUCUUGACGGUACCUAAUCAGAAAGCCACGGCUAACUACGUG
rnacentral:rRNA from 1 species